rnacentral:lncRNA from 1 species
AUAUAUAUAUAUAGUGCGGCUAAUAAAAAUCUUACAAAAUAUAAUGAUAUGACAUUAAAAUUUUAGAUCAAAUUUAUUGAUCUUAUUUUAUAUGGUAUAAAGAAUUUUCUAUCAAAAUUUCAUGUAAUUUGAAUAUUUUUACACCGUUAAACUUGCAACCGGCUCACCACGGCCAUUAAAAUUAUUGAUUUUGAGCCCCUUCGAUCACUAGGCAAAUGAUAUCGAAAAAUCACAAAAUUUAUUUUCUAGGUACUUCAAAUACUCUAGAUCAACUCUAACGGAGCCGAUCGUCGAUUCGAAAGUCCGAACAUCGAAAACAACUUGAAAGUACGGAGAGCUCCAUGCUUCCAUAAGCAUACCAGCCCACUCUCUCUCUCUCUCUCUCUCUCUCUCUCUCUCUCUAUAUAUAUAUAUAUAGGGUUAAUUGCAUACAGCUCUCUGUAAAUAUAGCGAAUUAUAAAUACAUCCCUAUAAAGUUCAACUUUCUUAUAUUAUUCCUACAAAAAUUCUAAUAUUUUCAAAUAUACUCUUACCAUUAGAAUUCGUUAAAAAAAUUUAGUUAACUAUCGGUGAAAUACUUAACUUUGAUUAGUCAAUGAGGUAAAUGAGUUGAGCUAGAAUAUUUUUAAAAGCACCAAGGCGUCGGUGCUUUUAGAUAUAUAAUCUUUGGAUAAAGAUAUUGUAGGGCAUAGUUAUAUGGAGAGAGAGAGAGAGAGCUAGGCUAUUAUAUUUUUGAAAAUACAAAAGUUUCUGUAUCUUCAAGUUACUUUUUAUGAUGGUGUAUCCGAUUCAAUGAACUACUCCGUUAGACAUCAGACAUGAUCCACUGUAUUUGAACUACUUAGAAGUCAAAUUUCAUAAUAUUUUGACUUUAUUUGUCUAGUGAACGAAUAGUUUCAAAAUAAACAGCUGAAAUAAAAAUCUCAUAAAAAAUAAUAAUUUCAAAUCAGAAGUACUAAUCUUGCUUUUGACGAUAAGUAAUUUUUUUUAUUGAAAUUUAACUAAUUUGGAUUGUUCUAUAUUGUUAAACUUACAUAUGUGUCACAUAGGCCAUUAAAAUAGUGAUUUUUAAAACCCUUUGAUCAUUUGACAAAUGAUGUCAAAAAAUUAUGAAAUUUGAUUUCUAAAUAGUUUUAAUGGCGUUGGUAUGUCUAACUGAGCCGAUCGUCGAAUCGGAUGUUUUAUCAUCGAACAUGAUGUAAAAGCAUUGGCACCUCCGUGCUUUCAAAAACACAGGAGACAUACUAUAUAUAAAGAGAGAGUAAGACUUCUGUGCUAUUAGGAGCACAACAACUAUUAUACUCCUAAUAUAUAUAG